rnacentral:miRNA from 1 species
UAAAAGACAGGAAUUGUAACU